AGCGAACGCUGGCGGCAGGCCUAACACAUGCAAGUCGAACGCAUCGCAAGAUGAGUGGCGCACGGGUGAGUAACACGUGGGAAUGUAUCCUUUGGUUCGGAAUAACGUCUGGAAACGGACGCUAAUACCGGAUGAGCCCUACGGGGGAAAGAUUUAUCGCCGAAGGAGCAGCCCGCGUCUGAUUAGGUAGUUGGUCGGGUAAAGGCCUACCAAGCCGACGAUCAGUAGCUGGUCUGAGAGGAUGAUCAGCCACACUGGGACUGAGACACGGCCCAGACUCCUACGGGAGGCAGCAGUGGGGAAUAUUGGACAAUGGGCGCAAGCCUGAUCCAGCCAUGCCGCAUGAGUGAUGAAGGCCUUCGGGUUGUAAAGCUCUUUCGCACACGACGAUGAUGACGGUAGUGUGAGAAGAAGCCCCGGCUAACUUCGUGCCAGCCGCCGCAGUAACAC
rnacentral:rRNA from 1 species